AGCAGUAGCCGCGGGAAUACGAAGGGUGCAAGCGUUACUCGGAAUUACUGGGCGUAAAGCGUGCGUAGGUGGUGGUUUAAGUCCGUUGUGAAAGCCCUGGGCUCAACCUGGGAAUUGCAGUGGAUACUGGGUCACUAGAGUGUGGUAGAGGAUAGUGGAAUUUCCGGUGUAGCAGUGAAAUGCGUAGAGAUCGGAAGGAACAUCUGUGGCGAAGGCGACUAUCUGGGCCAACACUGACACUGAGGCACGAAAGCGUGGGGAGCAAACAGGAUUAGAUACCCCAGAGUCCCUGUCUCUUAUACA
rnacentral:rRNA from 1 species